ensembl:snoRNA
GAUGCCCCUAGAGGCAUUGCAGAUGUGGCUGCUGUGUCACAUAUGUGUCAUUAGGUGGCAGAGAUUAGAGAGAUUAUGUCUAUGCUCAGCGUUCUGCCCUGUGAACGUUUGAAUGUUUCAUAGUCUAACAAU